CUGUCUAACAGUUAGUCUCUGAGAGAGAGCAGAAAAGGGAGCUGCUGAAGGAGUGAAUGUAUGCCUUUUCUUAACUGCUUAGGAAAAUUAGCUGAGGCUACUGUGUGGAACCAGAGACUCUGAGGGUGUGUUAGCUUGCUGGGAAGUGUGGAACCGCUGUUUUGGUUUGUCUGUUUCAACUGGGCUGUAGCUGAGAGUAAUUGAUUGCAUCCGGUGAUUGUUGCUAAUUGGAAGGGUCUGUGUUGCUUGGGGCUGACAACUGACCUCAUCCUCUUUGAAUUUGUAAGGCUGCACCUCACCAGAGAUGUGAACUGAAGAGUGAGAGCCAAAGGGUUCUUGGCCUGUGGCUCUCAGCCUAGGGAUUCUGAAAGAAGCCCAGGAAGGACCAUGAAGCCAGAGCCCUAGCUUCCUUGAGUUCCCAGUAAGGAAACGAAAUGACUGAGUGGGGAUUCUCCUCACCAUUGGAAAGGAAUUUGGAACUUUGAUAUGAUGGGAGGAAUCCCGUGUCAAUCAAGAUGUCCUUCACCUCCAAGAGAGAGCCUCCAGUAGACAUUGCAGCAAGUUUGGGGAUUUGGUUGGUCUGUAGGACUUGGCUUCUUUGAACUUGCAAAUGGUCUGGUAUUCUGACUUCAGAAAUUACUGUAAAUGCACUGGCACAAGGCUUGUGCUGUCAAAAUAGCUUGGAAGAAACACAGAGAGAAAGUAGCCAGGAAGGGUUGUCUUUGCAUCCUUCAAAAUGAUAGGUUGUUAUGAAAAAUUAAGCAUUCCAUAUGUAAUACAUCUUCUUCCUUGAGGUAUUUCCAAUCA